rnacentral:piRNA from 1 species
UCACGCCUUGUAUGACCCUUGCAAGCCCA